GAUCUGCCAACAGAUAUCGCCACCGGACACAAGCUGCAGGAGGGGGUGAGGGUGGGCAGGACCAGAGAGUUAAUAUCCAGUGUUUGAGAGUCAAAGCAGAUUUGCUCGUGACAGUUCAGUCCCCAUUCUCUUCAGCUGUCAGCAUGUGUGUAGUGUGACAGUUUCCCAGUCAGCACAUAGAAGAGCUGCAAGAGGUAGGCAAUACCUCCUUACUUCCAUCUUCAGAUCCCUGGAAGGUUGUAGAAAUGUGCCUUGCCUGUGAGGCAUUUAAUAACAGUCGCAGAAAUAAGAAUGUGGCCCCACAGUCAUGGUCCUGGUGCUGCCGGGCAGUAAACACAACUGAUGGAAACAGAGCUUAUGC